rnacentral:rRNA from 1 species
UUAAGCGACUAAGCGUACACGGUGGAUGCCCUGGCAGUCAGAGGCGAUGAAGGACGUGCUAAUCUGCGAAAAGCGUCGGUAAGGUGAUAUGAACCGUUAUAACCGGCGAUGUCCGAAUGGGGAAACCCAGUGUGAUUCGUCACACUAUCGUUAACUGAAUACAUAGGUUAACGAGGCGAACCGGGGGAACUGAAACAUCUAAGUACCCCGAGGAAAAGAAAUCAACCGAGAUUCCCCCAGUAGCGGCGAGCGAACGGGGAGCAGCCCAGAGUCUGAAUCAGCUUGUGUGUUAGUGGAACGGUCUGGAAAGUCCGACGGUACAGGGUGAUAGUCCCGUACACCAAAAUGCACAGGCUGUGAACUCGAAGAGUAGGGCGGGACACGUGGUAUCCUGUCUGAAUAUGGGGGGACCAUCCUCCAAGGCUAAAUACUCCUGACUGACCGAUAGUGAACCAGUACCGUGAGGGAAAGGCGAAAAGAACCCCGGCGAGGGGAGUGAAAAAGAACCUGAAACCGUGUACGUACAAGCAGUGGGAGCACCUUCGGGUGUGACUGCGUACCUUUUGUAUAAUGGGUCAGCGACUUAUAUUCUGUAGCAAGGUUAACCGUAUAGGGGAGCCGCAGGGAAACCGAGUCUUAACUGGGCGUUAAGUUGCAGGGUAUAGACCCGAAACCCGGUGAUCUAGCCAUGGGCAGGUUGAAGGUUGGGUAACACUAACUGGAGGACCGAACCGACUAAUGUUGAAAAAUUAGCGGAUGACUUGUGGCUGGGGGUGAAAGGCCAAUCAAACCGGGAGAUAGCUGGUUCUCCCCGAAAGCUAUUUAGGUAGCGCCUCGUGAACUCAUCUUCGGGGGUAGAGCACUGUUUCGGCUAGGGGGUCAUCCCGACUUACCAACCCGAUGCAAACUACGAAUACCGAAGAAUGUUAUCACGGGAGACACACGGCGGGUGCUAACGUCCGUCGUGAAGAGGGAAACAACCCAGACCGCCAGCUAAGGUCCCAAAGUCAUGGUUAAGUGGGAAACGAUGUGGGAAGGCACAGACAGCCAGGAUGUUGGCUUAGAAGCAGCCAUCAUUUAAAGAAAGCGUAAUAGCUCACUGGUCGAGUCGGCCUGCGCGGAAGAUGUAACGGGGCUAAACCAUGCACCGAAGCUGCGGCAGCGACACUAUGUGUUGUUGGGUAGGGGAGCGUUCUGUAAGCCUGCGAAGGUGUGCUGUGAGGCAUGCUGGAGGUAUCAGAAGUGCGAAUGCUGACAUAAGUAACGAUAAAGCGGGUGAAAAGCCCGCUCGCCGGAAGACCAAGGGUUCCUGUCCAACGUUAAUCGGGGCAGGGUAAGUCGACCCCUAAGGCGAGGCCGAAAGGCGUAGUCGAUGGGAAACAGGUUAAUAUUCCUGUACUUGGUGUUACUGCGAAGGGGGGACGGAGAAGGCUAUGUUAGCCGGGCGACGGUUGUCCCGGUUUAAGCAUGUAGGCUGGUUAUCCAGGCAAAUCCGGAUAAUCAAGGCUGAGGUGUGAUGACGAGGCACUACGGUGCUGAAGUAACAAAUGCCCUGCUUCCAGGAAAAGCCUCUAAGCAUCAGGUAACAUCAAAUCGUACCCCAAACCGACACAGGUGGUCAGGUAGAGAAUACCAAGGCGCUUGAGAGAACUCGGGUGAAGGAACUAGGCAAAAUGGUGCCGUAACUUCGGGAGAAGGCACGCUGGUGUGUAGGUGAAGUCCCUGCGGAUGGAGCUGAGACCAGUCGAAGAUACCAGCUGGCUGCAACUGUUUAUUAAAAACACAGCACUGUGCAAACACGAAAGUGGACGUAUACGGUGUGACGCCUGCCCGGUGCCGGAAGGUUAAUUGAUGGGGUUAUCCGUAAGGAGAAGCUCUUGAUCGAAGCCCCGGUAAACGGCGGCCGUAACUAUAACGGUCCUAAGGUAGCGAAAUUCCUUGUCGGGUAAGUUCCGACCUGCACGAAUGGCGUAAUGAUGGCCAGGCUGUCUCCACCCGAGACUCAGUGAAAUUGAACUCGCUGUGAAGAUGCAGUGUACCCGCGGCAAGACGGAAAGACCCCGUGAACCUUUACUAUAGCUUGACACUGAACAUUGAGCCUUGAUGUGUAGGAUAGGUGGGAGGCUUUGAAGCGUGGACGCCAGUCUGCGUGGAGCCAACCUUGAAAUACCACCCUUUAAUGUUUGAUGUUCUAACGUUGGCCCCUUACCGGGGUUGCGGACAGUGUCUGGUGGGUAGUUUGACUGGGGCGGUCUCCUCCCAAAGCGUAACGGAGGAGCACGAAGGUUAGCUAAUCCUGGUCGGACAUCAGGAGGUUAGUGCAAUGGCAUAAGCUAGCUUGACUGCGAGCGUGACGGCGCGAGCAGGUGCGAAAGCAGGUCAUAGUGAUCCGGUGGUUCUGAAUGGAAGGGCCAUCGCUCAACGGAUAAAAGGUACUCCGGGGAUAACAGGCUGAUACCGCCCAAGAGUUCAUAUCGACGGCGGUGUUUGGCACCUCGAUGUCGGCUCAUCACAUCCUGGGGCUGAAGUAGGUCCCAAGGGUAUGGCUGUUCGCCAUUUAAAGUGGUACGCGAGCUGGGUUUAGAACGUCGUGAGACAGUUCGGUCCCUAUCUGCCGUGGGCGCUGGAGAAUUGAGGGGGGCUGCUCCUAGUACGAGAGGACCGGAGUGGACGCAUCACUGGUGUUCGGGUUGUCAUGCCAAUGGCACUGCCCGGUAGCUAAAUGCGGAAGAGAUAAGUGCUGAAAGCAUCUAAGCACGAAACUUGCCCCGAGAUGAGUUCUCCCUGAGACUUUAAGUCUCCUGAAGGAACGUUGAAGACGACGACGUUGAUAGGCCGGGUGUGUAAGCGCAGCGAUGCGUUGAGCUAACCGGUACUAAUGAACCGUGAGGCUUAACCUU